rnacentral:tRNA from 1 species
UGGGGUAUAGCCAAGUGGUAAGGCAUCGGGUUUUGAUCCCGCUACGCCCAGGUUCGAAUCCUGGUACCCCAGCUA